GCCCUCUGGAGCAGAGCAGGCUGCUGAGCCGCUACGCUUUCAGUGACUUCACAAAACUGUUUGCAUACCAAUCUCUUCUCAACACUGCGUGCUUGUCCAAAUUGGGAUCGCAGAUCUCGGAGCGGUGGAUUGUAUUAGUUGGACGCUCUGCACAAUUCACCUCCGUGGACAUCCCAGCUGAUCGGCAUUUUUUUAAAUUUCAUUUCAAUACUUACCUCCAGCAGUCCCAGGCUUCUGAAAUCGUCCUUUUAGUAACAUUUCGCAGGGAAACAUCUAGUCACAGACAGAGGUUUCGGCACUGAGCUGCGCUUUGAGCCCAUGAAAACAGGAGAGGAGAGAGAACUGAGAGAAGUUAUCAGCAUCACCUGAACAAAGAAGAGGCACAAGCAGAUACACAUGGGGCAGGGAGAGGCUUCAGCACGGGGGACAACCAUGGAGGGGGACUGUCUCAGCUGCAUCAAGUACCUCAUGUUUGUCUUCAAUUUCCUCAUCUUUCUGGGGGGCUCUUUCCUCCUGGGAGUGGGAGUGUGGGUACUGGUGGACCCCACAGGAUUCAGGGAAAUUGUAGCAGCCAACCCCCUGCUAUUCACUGGUGUCUACAUCAUCCUGGGCAUGGGAGGCAUGCUCUUCCUUCUGGGCUUCCUUGGCUGCUGUGGAGCCAUCCGCGAAAACAAGUGUCUGCUCCUCUUUUUCUUCAUGCUCAUCCUCCUCAUCUUCUUAGCAGAGCUGGCUGCUGCCAUCCUGGCCUUCAUAUUUCGGGAGCAUCUGACCAGAGAGUACUUCACCAAGGAGCUAAAGAGACACUAUCAGGGCUACAACAACACUGAUGUCUUCACCUCCACGUGGAAUGCCAUCAUGACUACAUUUGACUGCUGUGGAGUGAACAGCCCAGAGGACUUUAAGGACAGCCGGUUCCGACUGAUCAACCAAAAUCAUAUGGUGCCAGAAGCCUGCUGCCAGCAUGCCAGUCAGAGCGGGGAGUUGGCCUAUAUCGGCCAGGAGCAGUGCUUAACAGGCAAUAUGAUGUUCCGCAAUAACAAGGGCUGUUACUCUGCAGUAGUUGACUACUUUGAACUGUACAUCUAUGUGGCUGGAGCGCUGGCCAUUGUGGUGCUGACCAUUGAGCUCUUUGCCAUGGUCUUUGCAAUGUGUCUCUUUAGGGGAAUCCAAUAGAGCUGCUCCAUCUGUGAACUUCUUUUAAGAAAAAAGGGAUUUUAGAAGAAAAGAACAAAAUGGACACUUGUAAAUUUGUUGAUCUCUUUUUCUAUUGGCUAAUUGGUAGAAAAACAAACUCUCAAACUCUUGUACUUCACAGCUGGACUUUUGAGGUACUGGGUGGCAAAAAAGCAACACACACACACACACACACACACACACACACACACACACACAUAAACCAUAGAGAAAGUGGGAGAUCAGAGACAAAACUGAUGUAAAAAGAAUUGUGUGUAAAGUGGAAACAGUCAUUUUUGGACCAGGUCUAGCACAGACUGGUGAAAGUGGACCAGGCAUGAGGACCAGGUGAAGCCUGAGCAGAAGGCACUGCACUGACUUUUGGAUGAAGAGUAUUUAUAUUAAGUAAAGUUGGCUUAACUGUAAAAAAAAAGAAAGAAAAAAAGAAGUGUUUUAUAUACACUUUGGCUGUUAUCUUUUUCCUGCUCAUACUGUAUACUGUAACACUUCCUCCCUCCGUACGCCUUUUUUACAGCCACUCUUCUGCUGUAUUAUAUAAGCUGUGUGUGUGUGUGUGUGUGUGUGUGUGUGUGUGUGUGUGUGUGUGUGUGUGUGUGUGUGUGUGUGUACUGGAUGCUGUUUUUGAAUGUGUAUGAACUAGUUUGUGAGCAUGUGCGCGUGUGGCUCUUCAUGACCCCUCCCAAGCUUUAAAGCCAACCUCUGAUUUUUUUUCUAUUUGUAUGGUGAUGUUUAUUGCAGUAGUGGUUAGAAUGUGGUUUUAGGUGGUGAAAUGUAUGUGUAUGCAUUUGUAUUAGAUUCUUGAAAAGUCAAUGACAUAAAUGGCAUUCUAAAUGA